rnacentral:rRNA from 1 species
CUACGGGGCGCUGCAGUGGGGAAUAUUGCACAAUGGGGGAAACCCUGAUGCAGCCAUGCCGCGUGUGUGAAGAAGGCCUUCGGGUUGUAAAGCACUUUCAGCAGUGAGGAAAGUUUGGUGGUUAAUACCCAUCAGAUGUGACGUUAACUGCAGAAGAAGCACCGGCUAACUCCGUGCCAGCAGCCGCGGUAAUACGGAGGGUGCGAGCGUUAAUCGGAAUUACUGGGCGUAAAGCGCAUGCAGGCGGUCUGUUAAGCCAGAUGUGAAAGCCCGGGGCUCAACCCCGGAAUAGCAUUUGGAACUGGCAGACUAGAGUUUUGUAGAGGGGGGUAGAAUUUCAGGUGUAGCGGUGAAAUGCGUAGAGAUCUGAAGGAAUACCAGUGGCGAAGGCGGCCCCCUGGACAAAAACUGACGCUCAGAUGCGAAAGCGUGGGUAGCAAACAGGAUUAGAUACCCCUGUAGUC